AGCUGUUUGGGGACUACAAGGCCCACCAUCCCUGACCACUGGUCCCGUGAGCUGGGGAUGGUGGGAGUUGUAGUCCCCAAACAGCU